UAGUCCACGCCGUAAACGAUGGAUACUAGGCGUCCGGGAAGUUAACCUCCUGGGUGCUACAGUUAACGCGUUAAGUAUCCCGCCUGGGGAGUACGGUCGCAAGGCUAAAACUCAAAGGAAUUGACGGGGGCCCGCACAAGCGGUGGAGUAUGUGGUUUAAUUCGAAGCAACGCGCAGAACCUUACCUACCCUUAACAUUUCACGACCGCCUCAGAGAUGAGGUUUUCUCUUCGGAGACGUGAGGAUAGGUGCUGCAUGGCUGUCGUCAGCUCGUGUCGUAAGAUGUCUGGUUAAGUCCAAUAACGAGCGCAACCCUUAUCCUUAGUUACCAGCAUUGAGUUGGGGACUCUAGGGAGACUGCCGGUGUUAAACCGGAGGAAGGCGGGGAUGACGUCAAGUCCUCAUGGCCCUUACGGGUAGGGCUACACACGUGCUACAAUGGCAGUGACAAUGGGUUAAUCCCAAAAAACUGUCUCAGUUCGGAUUGUUCUCUGCAACUCGAGAGCAUGAAGUCGGAAUCGCUAGUAAUCGCGUAA
rnacentral:rRNA from 1 species